AGACCGGUAUAGUGUAAUUAACACAAUAAGUUGUAAACUUAGAUAUGCUUAUGCUUCGGUUUA
rnacentral:tRNA from 1 species